CUGAAGUAUUUACCAUGUGACCUUUAUGGAAAAGGCUCCCUGCUCACUGCCUGGACUCUCACCCACCAUCCAACUGGCUGAGGGCAAAGUCGUCUCUGCUCCCAAUGCUCUGUUUCCCACUUUGUGAAGUGGGGUGAACAGCGCUGCCCUCAGAGGAUUCCAAGGGUGACGGUCCAUCACUGGGUGAGGUGGCUGUCCCUUCUCGCCCGUCCUUCCUUUGCUCCAAUGCUCCGGGAUGUUUCCCCUUUGGAGGCGCUCGAGAUACCUGGCUGAUAAAGGGCAGAUUCGUGGAGACUUAAUUAUGGCCCCAAGCCCUCCGUGUAAACAGUCGGGCCUGGUGACAACAGAAAUGCAAGCUCUCGUCAAGCGAGGACUGAUAAGGGGACCCUCAGAGAUGAGCAGAACCCGGAGGAGGGACUCACCACUUUUCUCAGCUGGGUGGUGAUGAUGGCCAAAGCCAUCUUUGAACAAGAGAAGCUGCUCGUAGGUGCUUUGGAUGACAAGCUGCCUCGGAGCUUCAUAGCCCCGUUCCUGCUGUAGGAACUGCAGACCUCUUGGUCUGGCUUCUCCCAGCCAGAAGCCCAUCCACCUCCGCCCCCAGCUGGAGACAGGUGAGGUCCCUGGGUGCGCCGCCUCUGGGCCGGGCUGCCUUCUGUCCUCACCAGCCACUCUGUCUGCGGGCCUGCCCCCUCCAUAGCCCGCUGUCCCUCUCCCAGGCCCGGUUCCUCACCCUCACCUGCCACCGUAGCUGCCUGUUUCCAGCUGGAACCUCCCUGAGGCUGGGAGAGACACCCUGACUCACACUAACUUCAGCACUGAAUCCAAAAGCAAAACGUUGUGGGAAGAACACCGAGCUUCAACUUCGUGUGCGCUCAUCCAAUCCUUUCCCUGCGCUGUAACUUUUCUUUAAAAUGCCAUCCAAGAGGUG